AAAAUCCGUCGACUUUAGAAAUCGUGAGGGUUCAAGUCCCUCUAUCCCCAGUAAAACUAUCCCC
rnacentral:tRNA from 1 species